AAUUUUGGACAACAGGCGCAAGCCUGAUCCAGCCAUGCCGCGUGAGUGAAGAAGGCCUUCGGGUUGUAAAUCUCUUUCGGACGUACAGAAAUCGAGCAGGCUAAUACCCUGUGCGGAUGACUGUACCGUCAUAAGAAGCCCCGGCUGACUACGUGCCAGCAUGCGCGGUAAUACGUAGGGUGCGAGCGUUAAUCCGAAUUACUGGGAGUAAGGCGUGCGCAGGCGGUUGAUUAAGACAGGCGUGAAAUCCCCGGGCUUAACCUGGGAACUGCGCUUGUGACUGGUCAGCUAGAGUACGGCAGAGGGGGGUGGAAUUCCACGUGUAGCAGUGAAAUGCGUAGAGAUGUGGAGGAACACCGAUGGCGAAGGCAGCCCCCUGGGCCGAUACUGACGCUCAUGCACGAAAGCGUGGGUAGCAAACAGG
rnacentral:rRNA from 1 species